GACGAACGCUGGCGGCGUGCCUAAUACAUGCAAGUAGAACGCUGAAGAGAGGAGCUUGCUCUUCUUGGAUGAGUUGCGAACGGGUGAGUAACGCGUAGGUAACCUGCCUUGUAGCGGGGGAUAACUAUUGGAAACGAUAGCUAAUACCGCAUAACAAUGGAUGACACAUGUCAUUUAUUUGAAAGGGGCAAUUGCUCCACUACAAGAUGGACCUGCGUUGUAUUAGCUAGUAGGUGAGGUAAUGGCUCACCUAGGCGACGAUACAUAGCCGACCUGAGAGGGUGAUCGGCCACACUGGGACUGAGACACGGCCCAGACUCCUACGGGAGGCAGCAGUAGGGAAUCUUCGGCAAUGGGGGCAACCCUGACCGAGCAACGCCGCGUGAGUGAAGAAGGUUUUCGGAUCGGAAAGCUCUGUUGUAAGUCAAGAACGGGUGUGAGAGUGGAAAGUUCACACUGUGACGGUAGCUUACCAGAAAGGGACGGCUAACUACGUG
rnacentral:rRNA from 1 species